rnacentral:lncRNA from 1 species
UGAGCAAAUUUGCAGCUGGCUUUGUUCCGCCCGGAACACUGUGUUCUUUCCUCACAUCCUCCCGCCCCGCUGAGGGCUCUCUACACAGGCAUGCAGGAGAUCACAUGCCAGCCUGGAAGUUAGAGCACCCCGGGGCCCCUCAGUUACCAAGGGAGCGCUGGAUAUGCCAGGUGGCCUCCUAAGGGAGACUGCCUGGGGGCAGAAGGUUUUGGUUAUCCGAUAAGAGGCAACUGUCCUCUGACUUCACUAGGAUUCUGAAGCCCAGAGAACUGAUUGAGAGAGGGCAAUCGGGCGAGAUGGAGACAGAAUGGACCCAAAUACUGUCCGAAUGUUCAGUGUUCAGUGAAGCAGCUUCCGUCACAGUGAGGUACCUGAGGUGUGGACUGCUCCCUGGGAGGGAGGCUGAAAGAAGCAAGGCUACAGAAACAGGAGAAGAAAACAGGAAAGGGCAUCGUUACAUACUGUAACUCCAAAAUAUUUAUGUACUCAGACAGGCCUCCCCUCUUAUCCUAGAGACCAGAAGGGAAGUUCCUCCUCCCUUUGGAAAACAGGACUCCAGAGUGGGGAGAAACCCAUGGCCUUGGCACAAAGCUCUGCAAGACAUAAAUGUACUCCGUGUAGAAGGCCUUACACACUGAAGGUUGCCUAUAAAGGGUGAAUGAAAGAAUGAAUGAGAGAGGGAGUGUGUGUGUGUGUGUGUGUGUGUGCGUGCGUGUGGCAGAGAGAUAGCGAUUGAGAUCGGCAAGUAUUCUCUAAAUAGGUCAUAGGUCAUAAACUUCCAGCUUCUAUACAAGUUUGAUUUCCCUAGAGAACUAUAAUAAUAAUGUUAGAAACUGCAAACAUUUGUUCUUUUUAUGUGCAAGGCAUAGUUAUAAAUGCUUUACAUGUACUAAUUCAUUUCAUUGGCACAAUUUUUUGAUGUUGAUUCUUUUAUUACCUUCAUUUUGUAAAUGAGAAAAUUUAAACACAGAGAGGUUAAGUGACUUCCCCAAGGCCACACAGCUAGUGAGUGGUGAACCUGGGUAUAUGAUGGGGGAGAUGUGGAAAUUAAAGUCAGAGAAAUUUGGGUUGGAACCUUGGCCCUAUUAUCUAUUAACUGUGUGACCUUUUGCAAGUUAUUUAAACUCCCUGAAUCACAUUUGCCUCAUUGGAAAAAUCAAGUUAAUUGCAUCUACAUCAUAGUGUUGUUGUGAAAAUUGGAUGAGUCUUGGUACUUUGAUUUCCUGUAGUUGAGUUUCCUGUAGUAAUUUAGACCAACUCUCCUGCUGGAAAUAACUAAGCAUGUUGGAUAAUUCUCUUUUCAUAUUCAUAAAAGCAUUAAAUUGCUGACAGGAUGGUAAGAAAUUCCAGCCUCAAGUCUAAGAGAAAGGAAGAACACAGAGAAGUAAGUGGAACAUCAAAGCCAUCUUUCCUGUGAAGGCAUUUAUCCAUCUGAAUUCUCCAAGCUGCAAAACUGAGCUGUGGUUUUGAUGGAUUCUGGAAGCAAGAACACAGAAGUCAAGGCUAGGAAUUACCAGGGAUUCCACAGUCACCUCCUCAAGUCCGUGUGAACCAGAAGUAAACUGGCCCCUCCCACAAUACCCCAUGGGAUGAUGGAAAGUGAGGUCUUGGCACCAGUCAGAGUCAGAGAGAAAGAAAAGAAAAAACACUGAUCUCUAAGGGGUUAUAACCAUGGGCUAGCAUUUUUUUUCAGAUUUGGAGCCCAAGUCUGCAUCUGUAGUGUGGUUCCAAAGCUCAAGCUAGGUAUUUAAAAUAGUACUGCGUAGAGAGAAUGAUGAGAAAAAAGAAGAGGCACAGAGGUUGGGAGAGCCACUGAGGUAGACACAAUUUGUAUACCAUGUUCCAGCUGCACUGAAAUGCUCUCAAUCCUUCACAUAAACACCCAUGCAUAACUUCUCAUCUUUGUACCAGUUGUUCCUUCCAUUAUCAACCAUAUGAUCUCUGGAGUCAGAUGGCACAGGUUCAUAUCCUGACUCUGGGUGACUUUGAGUAAGCCACUUAAUCUCUCUCGUCAUUUUCCUCAUCUGAAAAAUUGGGGACAUACUGCAACUCCAAAUUAUUUAUUUACUCAGACAGGCCUCCUCUCUUAUCCUAGAGACCAGAAGGGAAGUUCCUCCUCCCUUUGGAAAACAGGACUCCAGAGUGGGGAUUACAAUACCUCCUUGUGGUUUGCUGAGAGGAUCAAAUGAGUUAAUAUAUACAGAAGGCUUAGUAGAAUGUCUGGCACAUCGGAGGUAAUUACAGAGUGAUGGUGGUGGUACUGAUGAUGAUGGUGCUGAUGAUGAUGAUUUUCUCAAAUGAUCAUGUACCCCUUAUUUAUUUGGCAAUUUUUAUUAAUUGUUUACAACUCAGGUAAAAUAUGACUGCUUCAGGCUGGGUGUGGUGGCUCACGCUUGUAAUCCCAGCACUUUGGGAGGCUCAGGUGGGAGGAUAACUUGAGGUCAGCAGUUGGAGACCAGCCUGGCCAACAGGGUGAAAACCCAUCUUUACUAAAAGUACAGAAAUUAGUUAGAUGGUGGCAUGUACCUGUAGUCCCAGCUACUCAGGAGGUUGAGGUGGGAGAAUCACUUGAACCCGUGAGGUGGAAGUUGCAGUGAGCUAUAAUUGCACCACUGCACUCCAGCCUGGGCAACACAGUGAGAUCCUGUCUCAAAAAAAAAAAAAAUCACCUCUUCUGUUAAACCUUCUCUGCUUCUAUGUGCCACAAAACUUUGUGUCUCUCCUGGGGCCCUUAUCACACUCUAUUGCAAUGACUUAUUGACAUCUCUACCUACCCCUGAGAACUGUUAAGUUACCUAGUGGGGACUAAGUCUUAUUUGUCAUUGGUCCUUAGUUGCUAGUACAGAACUUGACACAUAACAGAUGCUUAGCAAAUACUUGGUGAAUUAAAGAAUGUAUUGGCCGG